UACGUAGGGGGCAAGCGUUGUCCGGAUUUAUUGGGCGUAAAGAGCGUGUAGGCGGCCGCACAGGUCCGUUGUGAAAACUGGAGGCUCAACCUUCAGACGUCGAUGGAAACCGUGCGGCUAGAGUCCGGAAGAGGAGAGUGGAAUUCCUGGUGUAGCGGUGAAAUGCGCAGAUAUCAGGAAGAACACCCGUGGCGAAGGCGGCUCUCUGGGACGGUACUGACGCUGAGGAGCGAAAGCGUGGGGAGCGAACAGG
rnacentral:rRNA from 1 species